rnacentral:rRNA from 1 species
ACGAACGCCGGCGGCGUGCCUAAUACAUGCAAGUAGAACGCUGAAGGAGGAGCUUGCUUCUCCGGAUGAGUUGCGAACGGGUGAGUAACGCGUAGGUAACCUGCCUGGUAGCGGGGGAUAACUAUUGGAAACGAUAGCAAUACCGCAUAAGAGUAGAUGUCGCAUGACAUUUGCUUAAAAGGUGCAACUGCACCACUACCAGAUGGACCUGCGUUGUAUUAGCUAGUUGGUGAGGUAACGGCUCACCAAGGCAACGAUACAUAGCCGACCUGAGAGGGUGAUCGGCCACACUGGGACUGAGACACGGCCCAGACUCCUACGGGAGGCAGCAGUAGGGAAUCUUCGGCAAUGGACGGAAGUCUGACCGAGCAACGCCGCGUGAGUGAAGAAGGUUUUCGGAUCGUAAAGCUCUGUUGUAAGAGAAGAACGAGUGUGAGAGUGGAAAGUUCACACUGUGACGGUAUCUUACCAGAAAGGGACGGCUAACUACGUG